CAAAGGAACCAUACACAAAGCGAAACCCUACCCAAAAAUUCCCCAAUCGUGUCCUCAUCCAGCGGCCACCUCCCAGAUCGCAUCGCGUGUCUCGUCGCCGCCGCCGCCGCAGCCGCCGUCUCACCCCACCUCCAUGGCUACAACUUUUAUAUGGGUGACAUGGUCAACCAUAACACCAAGGACUGGAUGACUACUUGGCUAGCACCUGGCUUAACGACCGCGAUGGGACAUGGGUGCGAGGUGGAUCAUCUCGUCGGUGUGAGGGCUCCGUUUUCAGAUGCUUCUUUAAGUUUUAUUAAGGUUUGUGUCCUGCUCAAGAAGACGAGAUGAUAGCGGCUUCUUGAAGAUGGAAUAAGGUUCUUCUCAUCUAGGCCCUGUCCCAAUGAUGUGUCUAGCAUCGUCGGAGGGCGUGUGGAGGUGUGUCUCGGGCGGAUUUCAGGAGAUUUGGUCGGUGGUUGUCUUUGGUGGAUCCGCUCGGAUCCGGUCUUUAUUCGUCUUUGUUCAUGUGUCUUCAGGUUGGAUCCUUUCGAUUUAAAAUUCUCUUCA